rnacentral:rRNA from 1 species
CCUACGGGUGGCAGCAGUGGGGAAUAUUGGGCAAUGGGCGAAAGCCUGACCCAGCAACGCCGCGUGAAGGAAGACGGCUCUCGGGUUGUAAACUUCUUUUGACAGGGAAGAGCAGAAGACGGUACCUGUCGAAUAAGCCACGGCUAACUACGUGCCAGCAGCCGCGGUAAUACGGAGGUGCCAAGCGUUGUCCGGAUUUACUGGGGGUAAAGGGCGUGUAGCCGGGCAGACAAGUCAGAUGUGAAAUCCUGGGGCUCAACCCCCGAACUGCAUUUGAAACUGUUGGUCUUGAGUAUCGGAGAGGCAGGCGGAAUUCCUAGUGUAGCGGUGAAAUGCGUAGAUAUUAGGAGGAACACCAGUGGCGAAGGCGGCCUGCUGGACGACAACUGACGGUGAGGCGCGAAAGCGUGGGGAGCAAACAGGAUUAGAUACCCGGGUAGUC